rnacentral:rRNA from 1 species
UACGUAGGGGGCUAGCGUUGUCCGGAAUCAUUGGGCGUAAAGCGCGUGUAGGCGGUUUGGUAAGUCCGCUGUGAAAGUCGGGGGCUCAACCCUCGAAUGCCGGUGGAUACUGUCGAACUAGAGUGCGGAAGAGGCGAGUGGAAUUCCUGGUGUAGCGGUGAAAUGCGCAGAUAUCAGGAGGAACACCAAUUGCGAAGGCAGCUCACUGGGACGUAACUGACGCUGAGACGCGAAAGCGUGGGGAGCAAACAGG